CAGCCGCCGCGGGAAUACGAGGGGAGCUAGCGUUAUUCGGAAUUACUGGGCGUAAAGCGCACGUAGGCGGCUCUGUAAGUUAGAGGUGAAAGCCCAGAGCUCAACUCUGGAAUUGCCUUUAAGACUGCAUCGCUUGAAUCCAGGAGAGGUGAGUGGAAUUCCGAGUGUAGAGGUGAAAUUCGUAGAUAUUCGGAAGAACACCAGUGGCGAAGGCGGCUCACUGGACUGGUAUUGACGCUGAGGUGCGAAAGCGUGGGGAGCAAACAGGAUUAGAUACCCCGGUAGUCCCUGUCUCUUAUAA
rnacentral:rRNA from 1 species